UGAUUUUCUACUUUAUGGCUGGGCAUUCCAAUAACAGGUUUUUCCCUUAUAUAAUCUAAUGAUAGAUUCAGUGGCUAUGUUGGCUUCUGCAUUUUUAACUUAUUUUUGAGGGAAAAUUAGUAGUCUUUGGGGCAAUGCUUGGGUGGUAAUGUGUUCAGAAAUCAUUUUACCACACCCAUUAAUAGGGAGGAAUUGGGAGAGAAUGAUAUCCUAGAAACAAUAUCA
rnacentral:misc_RNA from 1 species